rnacentral:rRNA from 1 species
CUGCAGCCCGAGUGGUGAUCGAUUUUAUUGAGCCUAAAGCGUCCGUAGCCGGACUAGUAAACCCUUGGGUAAAUUGGGCAGCUUAACUGUCCAAAUUCCGAGGGGACUGCUAGUCUUGGGACCGGGAGAGGUCAGAGGUACUCAAGGGGUAGGGGCUAAAUCCUGUAAUCCUUUGGGGACCACCAGUGGCGAAGGCGUCUGACUAGAACGGAUCCGACGGUAAGGGACGAAACCCUGGGGCGCGAACCGGAUUAGAUACCCGGGUAGUCC